CCCAAUAUGUUGCCUUUAUCUGCAUUUGCACCUGCACUUUACUUUGGUUUUCUCUGAUAACGUAUUCAUGUUUAUAAUUAUCAUACAAACAUGGUACAAGAGACCAAGAACUAGGUGCAGGUGCAUCUGCAGGUGAAUCUCAUCUUGGU
rnacentral:pre_miRNA from 1 species